GGUGCCACUCUGAUGUGACCCUUGUGAAGGAGACUGUAGAUUAUCUGCGUGUCUCAUACUGAGCCUGUGUGUGUUUAGUCACUGUGCUUUUUCCAGCCUCUUCGUAUUUGAUACGAGCGUCGACCAUAAAUAGAGAUGAGAUUUCCAGACGGGCUUUUACUGUCAAUUUGAUGGUAAUUUUCUUUUCAGGCGCAGGGCAGAGAGAGGAAAUCCCAGAGGUCAGCCAUGUUGGCUCCACUCAGGAAAGGAUGGUGGAGUUUCCUCAAUAACUACAGUAACAAGCCAAAUGCCACUUGUCCUCUGCUCCUCGUCUUCCUCCC